UACGUAGGGACCAAGCGUUGUUCGGAUUACUGGGCGUAAAGGCGCGUAGGCGGCAAUUCAAGUCAGCUGUGAAAUCGUCCGGGCUUAACUCGGAACGGUCAGCUGAUACUGCUUUGCGUAGAGUGCAGAAGGGGCAGUCGGAAUUCUUGGAUGUAGCGGUGAAAUGCGUAGAUAGUCAAGAGGAACACCUGAGGUGAAGACGGGUUGCUGGGCUGACACUGACGCUGAGGCGCGAAAGCUAGGGUAGCAAACGGG
rnacentral:rRNA from 1 species